GUAUCUUAAUUGAAAUUUCAACUUUAGUUUCGACCUAAAUUUAGGCUAAAUGCCAAGAUACUAAA
rnacentral:tRNA from 1 species